rnacentral:rRNA from 1 species
GAUGAACGCUAGCUACAGGCUUAACACAUGCAAGUCGAGGGGCAGCAUAUUUAUAGCAAUAUAAAUGAUGGCGACCGGCGCACGGGUGAGUAACACGUAUCCAACCUCCCUUUUACUCGGGAAUAGCCUUUCGAAAGAAAGAUUAAUACCCGAUAGUAUAUGGUUUUCUCAUGAAGAUCCUAUUAAAGAAUUUCGGUAAAAGAUGGGGAUGCGUUCCAUUAGGCAGUUGGCGGGGUAACGGCCCACCAAACCUACGAUGGAUAGGGGUUCUGAGAGGAAGGUCCCCCACAUUGGAACUGAGACACGGUCCAAACUCCUACGGGAGGCAGCAGUGAGGAAUAUUGGUCAAUGGGCGAGAGCCUGAACCAGCCAAGUAGCGUGAAGGAUGACUGCCCUAUGGGUUGUAAACUUCUUUUAUAAGGGAAUAAAGUGGAGUAUGUAUACUCCUUUGUAUGUACCUUACGAAUAAGGAUCGGCUAACUCCGUG